rnacentral:rRNA from 1 species
CCCAAGACCGGUUACUCACUGAAGCUAAGCAGGGCUGAGCCUGGUCAGUACCUGGAUGGGAGACCACUAGGGAACACCAGGUUGCUGUUGGAA